rnacentral:rRNA from 1 species
CAGUCGCCACGGGAAUACGUAGGGUGCAAGCGUUAAUCGGAAUUACUGGGCGUAAAGCGUGCGCAGGCGGUUAUAUAAGACAGAUGUGAAAUCCCCGGGCUCAACCUGGGAACUGCAUUUGUGACUGUAUAGCUAGAGUACGGCAGAGGGGGAUGGAAUUCCGCGUGUAGCAGUGAAAUGCGUAGAUAUGCGGAGGAACACCGAUGGCGAAGGCAAUCCCCUGGGCCUGUACUGACGCUCAUGCACGAAAGCGUGGGGAGCAAACAGGAUUAGAUACCCCCGUAGUUCCUGUCUCUUAUAC